CGUUGCUUUCUUUGCUGGCGACCGGCGCACGGGUGAGUAACACGUAUCCAACCUGCCCUUUACCCGGGGAUAGCCUUUCGAAAGAAAGAUUAAUACCCGAUAGUAUAAUGAUUCCGCAUGGUUUCAUUAUUAAAGGAUUCCGGUAAAGGAUGGGGAUGCGUUCCAUUAGGUUGUUGGUGAGGUAACGGCUCACCAAGCCUUCGAUGGAUAGGGGUUCUGAGAGGAAGGUCCCCCACAUUGGAACUGAGACACGGUCCAA
rnacentral:rRNA from 1 species